AUACGCCUACGGGGGGCAGCAGUAGGGAAUUUUCGUCAAUGGGCGCAAGCCUGAACGAGCAAUGCCGCGUGAACGAGGAAGGUCUUCGGAUCGUAAAGUUCUGUUGAAGGGGAAAAAGAGCGGAGAGAGGAAAUGAACUCCGAUUGAUAUUACCCUUCGAGGAAGUCACGGCUAACUACGUGCCAGCAGCCGCGGGAAUACGUAGGGGGCGAGCGUUAUCCGGAAUGAUUGGGCGUAAAGGGUGCGUAGGCGGCCUGCUAAGGCUGGAGUGAAAGGUACCGGCUCAACCGGUACAGGCUCUGGAA
rnacentral:rRNA from 1 species